CAGUUUGAUUCUGACUGAAAAAUUAACUUUAUACCAACCAACAUACAUGUAAAACAUUUAAUUCCCGCACUAAAUUUUAUCUAAAUGAUAUAAUAAAUGUAUUAAGAAGUAUUCUAAAUACAGUAGAGCGCCACAGUAGGUAACACUUUUAAACUUGUAAAAUCAAGAAAAGAGUGUGGUAUAAGGGCUGGCAAAAUUCGUGCCAGCUGCCGCGGUUAGACGAUAAGCCCAAGUUAAUAUAAUAUAAACUAAAUUAAUGAUAAGUUAAAUAAUAACAAAAGUCUAAUUUUUAAGAUCUAUGGCUCACAAUUAUCAAAUAAUAAUUGAAAUCAUGAACUAAAACAUGGAUUAGAUACCCAUCUAUUCAUGAUGUAAAUAAUAGUUGGAUAUUACGAACAACAGUUUAAAAUUCAAAGAUUUUGGCGGUGUCUUAUAAAACCAGGGGAACCUGUCUCAUAACUCGAUAAUCCACGUAUACUCAACCUUCUAUUGAUAUACCAGCAUGUAUACUGCCGUUGUAAGUAUACCUUUAAAAGAACAAGUAUACUACUAUGAUCAUUUAAUAUGUCUCAUAUACAUCAGGUCAAAGUGCAGCCAAUAAGAAGGUGAUGAUGGGUUACAACCCUAAAAUAGACUAUCAACUAAGAAAUAAAAAAUCUUACGAAAGUGGACUUGGCUGUAAUUAAUUUACAAGUUAAAAAAAUGAAUAAAAUCUAAGACAUGUACACAUCGCCCGUCACUCUAUCCUAAAGGUUAGAUAAGUCGUAACAAAGUAGGUGUAAUGGAAAUUGUACCUGU
rnacentral:rRNA from 1 species